UAAAUUGGUUAAAUUUGAAGGGAUGGAUUAAUAAUUUAAUUACAGUGACCUUCUUUGGUUCUAUUCAUUCCAGUGAGUCAUCUCUCAUUCAUGUUCCUCCAAAAUUAAUUCUCUAAAAUCAGUGCACAUUCACUAAUCCAAAUAUAAUGUGCAUUCACUCAUUUGUCGUUGUGUACAUUACAUCACUUCGUCCGAUCAGUUGUGUACAUUACAUCACUUCGUCCGAUCAGUUUGUGUUGGAUCUGAGAAAAUUUAAAAGAAAGUGAAUGAAUGAAUUUCAUAAAAUAAAAAGAGAAUUGUUGUGGUGUUGUUUGUUUUAAAUGAUAAAUGGAAAAUUUUGACAAUAAAACUUUGAAGAGUUUGGAAAUGAUUUGAUAGUGUGAUAAGUAAAAAAAAAUUAUAUUUUAAUAAUCAAAUUUGUUAGAUUUUGCUUAUAAUUAAAAAGAAUAUAAAAUUAAAGUUAACUAUUAUUAUUAUUAUUGUAAUUAUUAUUAUUACCAUCAACAUCAUUAUUAUUAUCAUUAUUUUAUUAUUAUUAUUAUUAUCACUCAACAGGAAAUUUAAGAAAUAGGUUAGUUUUAAUGCAAAUUUUAAGCAGCAAGUUAUCACGUCUGUUUUUACGUGAUAGAUUACAAAAAUUAAAAUUAUUAUUACAGUAAAUAUUAAUUAUACCACAUCGCUGUAAUAUUAAUUUUAAGUAAUAAAGAAGAAAAUGUUUAUUAUUACAAAAUGGUUUUAAUUAUAACGGAUUUGCUUGCUCCCCAAGACAGGCACUAACCUUCCAGAAUCUCCUACAACAGAAUAUCACUGCUCUGGAACCUUCUCGACCUUCUUCUAGCGCCUUCUAGCUCCUCCAAAUCCUUCUCCUCAAAUAUCGCCCACUGUCGCAUCCAUUUCACUGCACAGAGAAUCUCUCAAUAGAAGCUACCUUUUUGCAAUCUCAAUG
rnacentral:lncRNA from 1 species